AAGGUUUUGUCAAAUUAUUCUAAUAUUAUAUUCAGAUUGUUGGGAUAUAAGUGGGAUGUGAAUCUCACUGAUCACUAUUAGUGUUAUACUCAUCUUUUCCAACCCCUCGCGGCCUUUUCUCUUUCAUGGGUUAGAGGUCCAACAUUAGUCCCCUCCAAAGUAGUGCCAGAUUUUUACAUGGAUUGAAUUACUUUGGAAAGCAUUUUUACCACAUGUAAUUUUUGUUGCUUGACAAGAUUAUUGUGGCGUGGAUCCGAGGUGAGCGGUUUUUGUAAGGAGGUACAUUGGAUGGUGAGGUUGAUGGCGAUCGUUGUGGCGCCCUCCAAACCCGGGUCAGAAGUUUGGGGUCCACACUUAAUAUAAACCUGUAAUUAAUGAUAUAAUAUAUAUAGUGACCCUUAACUGUCCAUGGAUCGCAACAGGUUAAAGUAUAAAACAAGCCACAACAUAACUUUAAUUAUUACAAACCCAAAUCCCAAAUAUAAAUU
rnacentral:lncRNA from 1 species